rnacentral:rRNA from 1 species
CAGCCGCCACGGUAAUGCCUAGGUGGCAAGCGUUGCCCGGAAUUAUUGGGCGUAAAGGGCUCGCAGGCGGUUUCUUAAGUCUGAUGUGAAAGCCCCCGGCUCAACCGGGGAGGGUCAUUGGAAACUGGGAAACUUGAGUGCAGAAGAGGAGAGUGGAAUUCCACGUGUAGCGGUGAAAUGCGUAGAGAUGUGGAGGAACACCAGUGGCGAAGGCGACUCUCUGGUCUGUAACUGACGCUGAGGAGCGAAAGCGUGGGGAGCGAACAGGAUUAGAUACCCCUGUAGUCCCUGUCUCUUAUAC